rnacentral:rRNA from 1 species
CCACCACUAAGCCAGUGGUGAACUCCACAUACGCAUCCUUUGCUGAGGAGACGGUUAACGGAGCGAAAGCGACGUUCAACCUCAAAACAAGCAGAGGGGGCUUAGUGGUGGGGUGACUGCGUACCUUUUGUAUAAUGGGUCAGCGACUUAUAUUCUGUAGCAAGGUUAACCGAAUAGGGGAGCCGGAGGGAAACCGAGUCUUAAUUGGGCGUUAAGUUGCAGGGUAUAGACCCGAAACCCGGUGAUCUAGCCAUGGGCAGGUUGAAGGUUGGGUAACACUAACUGGAGGACCGAACCGACUAAUGUUGAAAAAUUAGCGGAUGACCUGUGGCUGGGGGUGAAAGGCCAAUCAAACCGGGAGAUAGCUGGUUCUCCCCGAAAGCUAUUUAGGUAGCGCCUCGUGAAUUCAUCUCCGGGGGUAGAGCACUGUUUCGGCUAGGGGGCCAUCCCGGCUUACCAACCCGAUGCAAACUGCGAAUACCGGAGAAUGUUAUCACGGGAGACACACGGCGGGUGCUAACGUCCGUCGUGAAGAGGGAAACAACCCAGACCGCCAGCUAAGGUCCCAAAGUCAUGGUUAAGUGGGAAACGAUGUGGGAAGGCCCAGACAGCCAGGAUGUUGGCUUAGAAGCAGCCAUCAUUUAAAGAAAGCGUAAUAGCUCACUGGUCGAGUCGGCCUGCGCGGAAGAUGUAACGGGGCUAAACCAUGCACCGAAGCUGCGGCAGCGACACUCAGGUGUUGUUGGGUAGGGGAGCGUUCUGUAAGCCUGUGAAGGUGGCCUGUGAGGGUUGCUGGAGGUAUCAGAAGUGCGAAUGCU